UGAGCGGUGGCGCCGGGCUCUGGUGCGACCGCCUCGUGCGCGGACUCGACCGACACGAGUUCGACGUCUACGCGUUCAG
rnacentral:tRNA from 1 species